rnacentral:rRNA from 1 species
UACGGAAGGCAGCAGUGGGGAAUAUUGCACAAUGGGCGCAAGCCUGAUGCAGCCAUGCCGCGUGUAUGAAGAAGGCCUUCGGGUUGUAAAGUACUUUCAGUCGUGAGGAAGGUGUUAAGGUUAAUAACCUUAGCAAUUGACGUUAGCGACAGAAGAAGCACCGGCUAACUCCGUGCCAGCAGCCGCGGUAAUACGGAGGGUGCGAGCGUUAAUCGGAAUUACUGGGCGUAAAGGGCACGCAGGCGGUUAAUUAAGUUGGAUGUGAAAUCCCCGGGCUUAACCUGGGAAUGGCAUUCAAGACUGGUUAGCUAGAGUCUUGUAGAGGGGGUAGAAUUCCAUGUGUAGCGGUGAAAUGCGUAGAGAUGUGGAGGAAUACCGGUGGCGAAGGCGGCCCCUGGACAAAGGCUGACGCUCAUGUGCGAAAGCGUGGGGAGCAAAC